GGGGAAUAUUGCACAAUGGGGGAAACCCUGAUGCAGCGACGCCGCGUGGAGGAAGAAGGUCUUCGGAUUGUAAACUCCUGUUGUUGAGGAAGAUAAUGACGGUACUCAACAAGGAAGUGACGGCUAACUACGUGCCAGCAGCCGCGGUAAAACGUAGGUCACAAGCGUUGUCCGGAAUUACUGGGUGUAAAGGGAGCGCAGGCGGGAAGACAAGUUGGAAGUGAAAUCCAUGGGCUCAACCCAUGAACUGCUUUCAAAACUGCUUUUCUUGAGUAGUGCAGAGGUAGGCGGAAUUCCCGGUGUAGCGGUGGAAUGCGUAGAUAUCGGGAGGAACACCAGUGGCGAAGGCGGCCUACUGGGCACCAACUGACGCUGAGGCUCGAAAGUGUGGGUAGCAAACAGGAUUAGAUACCCUGGUAGUCCACACCGUAAACGAUGAUUACUAGGUGUUGGAGGAUUGACCCCUUCAGUGCCGCAGUUAACACAAUAAGUAAUCCACCUGGGGAGUACGACCGCAAGGUUGAAACUCAAAGGAAUUGACGGGGGCCCGCACAAGCAGUGGAGUAUGUGGUUUAAUUCGACGCAACGCGAAGAACCUUACCAAGUCUUGACAUCCUGCGACGAUGCUGGAAACAGUAUUUUCCUUCGGGACGCAGAGACAGGUGGUGCAUGGUUGUCGUCAGCUCGUGUCGUGAGAUGUUGGGUUAAGUCCCGCAACGAGCGCAACCCUUAUGGUCAGUUACUACGCAAGAGGACUCUGGCCAGACUGCCGUUGACAAAACGGAGGAAGGUGGGGAUGACGUCAAAUCAUCAUGCCCUUUAUGACUUGGGCUACACACGUACUACAAUGGCGUUAAACAAAGAGAAGCAAGACCGCGAGGUGGAGCAAAACUCAGAAACAACGUCCCAGUUCGGACUGCAGGCUGCAACUCGCCUGCACGAAGUCGGAAUUGCUAGUAAUCGUGGAUCAGCAUGCCACGGUGAAUACGUUCCCG
rnacentral:rRNA from 1 species